GUAGAAGGAUUUAAGCAAAAUGAAACAGACAGAAAUAUUGAUCCAGACAACUGGAAUUUUCAAGUGUAUUGCAAUGAUAAUGACGACUGGAAAGGAAAGAGAGGAAGGUAACAAAGAAAAGCCAAGAAAACUAUUUGGAGUGAGAGACUAUGGUAAUAUAAAAGGUAUAUUUUCUAGAAGUUAUUAUAAAGUUUAAGUUAAAUUAUGUACAUGUAUAACAUAUAAUAAUUUU
rnacentral:lncRNA from 1 species